rnacentral:rRNA from 1 species
CUUCCAUGAAGACUGGAAUUGCUAGUAAUGGCAGGUCAGCAUACUGCCGUGAAUACGUUCCCGGGCCCUUGUACACACCGCCCGUCACACCAUGAGAGUUGGAAAUACCCGAAGCCUGUGAGCUAACUUAAAGAGGCAGCAGUCGAAGGUAGAGCCAAUGAUUGGGGUGAAGUCGUAACAAGGUAGC